AUCCUAGAGAAGACAAACACGUGUUUGUU
rnacentral:sRNA from 1 species